rnacentral:rRNA from 1 species
GACGAACGCUGGCGGCGUGCCUAAUACGUGCAAGUCGAGCGAAUCGAUGGGAGCUUGCUCCCUGAGAUUAGCGGCGGACGGGUGAGUAACACGUGGGUAACCUGCCUGUAAGACUGGGAUAACUUCGGGAAACCGGAGCUAAUACCGGAUACUUUCUUUUCUCGCAUGAGGGAAGAUGGAAAGAUGGUUCUGCUAUCACUUACAGAUGGACCCGCGGCGCAUUAGCUAGUUGGUGAGGUAACGGCUCACCAAGGCGACGAUGCGUAGCCGACCUGAGAGGGUGAUCGGCCACACUGGGACUGAGACACGGCCCAGACGCCUACGGGAGGCAGCAGUAGGGAAUCUUCCGUAAUGGACGAAAGUCUGACGGAGCAACGCCGCGUGAGCGAAGAAGGCCUUCGGGUCGUAAAGCUCUGUUGUUAGGGAAGAACAAGUACGAGAGUAACUGCUCGUACCUUGACGGUACCUAACCAGAAAGCCACGGCUAACUACGUGCCAGCCGCCGCCGUAAGAC